rnacentral:rRNA from 1 species
GAUGAACGCUGGCGGCGUGCCUAAUACAUGCAAGUCGAGCGAACAGAUGAGGAGCUUGCUCCUCUGACGUUAGCGGCGGACGGGUGAGUAACACGUGGAUAACCUACCUAUAAGACUGGGAUAACUUCGGGAAACCGGAGCUAAUACCGGAUAAUAUAUUGAACCGCAUGGUUCAAUAGUGAAAGACGGUUUUGCUGUCACUUAUAGAUGGAUCCGCGCCGCAUUAGCUAGUUGGUAAGGUAACGGCUUACCAAGGCAACGAUGCGUAGCCGACCUGAGAGGGUGGUCGGCCACACUGGAACUGAGACACGGUCCAGACUCCUACGGGAGGCAGCAGUAGGGAAUCUUCCGCAAUGGGCGAAAGCCUGACGGAGCAACGCCGCGUGAGGGAUGAAGGUCUUCGGAUCGUAAAACUCUGUUAUUAGGGAAGAACAAAUGUGUAAGUAACUAUGCACGUCUUGACGGUACCUAAUCAGAAAGCCACGGCUAACUACGUG